CUACGGGUUGCUGCAGUGAGGAAUAUUGCACAAUGGAGGAAACUCUGAUGCAGCCAUGCCGCGUGAGUGAAGAAGGCCUUAGGGUUGUAAAGCUCUUUCAAUUGUGAAGAUUAUGACGGUAGCAAUAGAAGAAGCCCCGGCUAAAUUCGUGCCAGCAGCCGCGGUAAUACGAAUGGGGCAAGCGUUGUUCGGAAUCACUGGGCUUAAAGCGUGCGCAGGCGGACUUGAAAGUCAGAAGUGAAAUCCCGGGGCUCAACCCCGGAACUGCUUUUGAAACUCCAAGUCUAGAAUUCAGUAGAGGUUAGGAGAAUUCCGAGUGUAGAGGUGAAAUUCGCAGAUAUUCGGAGGAAUACCAGUGGCGUAGGCGCCUAACUGGACUGAUAUUGACGCUCAUGUACGAAAGCGUGGGGAGCAAACAGGAUUAGAUACCCCCGUAGUC
rnacentral:rRNA from 1 species